rnacentral:rRNA from 1 species
GGGCCCGCACAAGCAGCGGAGCGUGUGGUUUAAUUCGUCGCAACGCGAAGAACCUUACCAGGACUUGACAUGUGGCGGAAAACGGCGGAAACGUCGUCCUCCCGCAAGGGACCGUCAUGCAGGUGUUGCA